CGGGAGGGGCUGGGGCUGGUACCGCGCUCCCGCCCCCGGGUUCUGCUCCAAACACUGACAGAAAGAAUAGAAACCCCCAGUUUCAUUGUCCCCCCACUCUCAGCUGAGUGGCUCGUGUCCUUAGCGUGGUUUUGGUGGAAGUUCGGUGCAGCAGCUGCGGGAUGGGAGUGGGAGCUGCCCAGCAGAGCCAGAUGGGAAGCCCUCAGGAAGAGGCUGCAAACCUUUUAGAGGGUUUUUACCUAUUUAAAUAGGUAAAUCCCACGACUUCCAUGAAAGCCAUGACCCAUCUCCCGAAGGGGAGCAAACCCCAAUUCCCACAUCCUGCAGGCCGGGAUUAAUGGGAUUAUCUCUCCUCUGUCCUCUAAAGGGAAGCAGGACCUUAACACACACUCCCAGUAUGGCCAGAGGUCUUUAAGAGGGUCCACACUUCAGGAAAAUUGCCUGCAGGCAUUCCUUGGCUCCUGUAAAUUCAGUGUUUAAGGCCAGAAGGGAGCCUGGCCAUUAUCUGGUCACACCUCCCUUGUAAAAGCCAUAAAAGACAGAAUAAACCGCCUUGAGCAUUUAAUUUGCAGAAGCUCCUGGUGGAUGAAAAGCCUUCAAGGGAUGGAGAGCUGCCACAUCCUCGGCUCAGCUCUUCCCACAAUUAACAGGACAAAGUGUCCCAAGUGGCUGCUUUGCUCCAGGUUAAAGUGACAGAGGUGAAAAACAGGGAUGGGAGGGGAAGGAAAAAGAGGAUUUCAGCCCAGACAAGCCCACCAAGCUCCAAGUUCACACCUCCACACACCCCGUGUUCCCCUAAAGGCACCCGAGCUCCCCAAAACCUCCCCGGUGUUCCCCAGGGAAGCGAGGACGAUCCAUGGAUUCUGUUGUCCUUCAUUCCACCGGAGUCUGUCUCGUAGCAAACCAGAUUUCAGUGGAGUGAAGCUCAAGAGACAUGGAGGAGCUGCUGCCACUGCCCAGCUGGGAAAGCACACGGAAAUUGGGAGAGGAGCAGCACAAGGAGCUCUUUAAUAACGCGAAUAUUUCCUGAAAAUCCCCAGUAAGAACCCUCUGUGAGCAUGUACUUCCUUUCUGCAUAAUGUGUAAAGAUUAAAAGUCUACAAAGACCA